UACGUAGGCAGCGAGCGUUGUUCGGAUUCAUUGGGCGUAAAGGGUGCGUAGGCGGCGCGGUAAGUCGGGUGUGAAAUCUCGGAGCUUAACUCCGAAACUGCAUUCGAUACUGCCGUGCUUGAGGACUGGAGAGGAGACUGGAAUUUACGGUGUAGCGGUGAAAUGCGUAGAUAUCGUAAGGAAGACCAGUGGCGAAGGCGGGUCUCUGGACAGUUCCUGACGCUGAGGCACGAAGGCCAGGGGAGCAAACGGG
rnacentral:rRNA from 1 species